AGACUACACAUUUCUCUGAAUAUCUCUUUCUUAGAAAAUACUAGGUAUCUUCUAUAUGAGUGAGUGAGAAACACUUCUCCCGCGAGGGAAAAGUAACAAAUAGUUUGUGUGUGAGUAUAAGGAAGAUCUGAUUAAAGAUUUUUCCUGUGUUGUAAUAUAUUCAUGAAAUAAAAAGUUUGUUUUAUAUAUCUUUUGUCAUUUCUAUAUGUUGGUGAUAAAUGAAGGUUGCAAUCUUCAGCCUCGACGGAGGAAGAACGGCACAAUAGCCUGAGACAGUGAGUCGCAAUAGGCUAAAUAAUUCUUCAUAGCCGGAAGGAGAAGCACUACGAUGUUGAUACAGCCAAUAUAAAAGAAAGUCAAAAAGGAAAGCAUUAUUUACAUCCAUUUGGAAGAUGUCCCACUUCUUGGAGGCUGCCAGGCUUAUCACAGCUCUGACUGUCAUAAUUUUAGCAACAGGUGAGAAGGUAUCAUGAUAAUCCAAACCUUCCUGCUCAUUGUAUCCUUCGCAAAUAAUCUAGACUUGUAUCUUUUAAUGCUUCCAUCAGCUUUAUAUUUAAUCUUGUAUACCCAUUUAAAACCUAUGGCAUGUUUCCCUGGUGGCAGAGGGACCAGGUCCCAAGUCUGAUUUUCCUCCAAGGCUUGAAUUUCAAGCUACAUAGCCUUAAUCCAGUGUUCAUUUUUUGCGGCUUCUUUAAGAUUUUGUGGUUCAAUUUGAGCUAAAAAGGCUUGCAGAUAGGCUUGGUAUGCUGGUGAGACAUUAUCAUAAGACAACACAUCUGAGAUAGAAUAAAGGGUCACACCUCCAGACUUACCACCAGAUUUAGUAGUUACAUAAUCCUUUAACCAUAUUGGCAGAUUGGCACUCCUUGUUGUCCUUCUCAAGUCUGCUGGGUGUGGAACAGGUGGAAAUGAAUGUUCCACUGGUGACACUUCAUCAGCUUCAACUGUAGAAUGUUGCGUAUUAUUUGCAACUUCUGGAACACCAGAAAAGCUAGCAGGAUUAUUAUAUACAGGGGCAUAUGAUGCAGGCAUGGGUAUUGGAGAAGGGUCAGGAUGGUGAUGAUCAUUGACAGAGUGUGGAACAUAAAAAAUAGUGGUUCCUUCAUAUGUGAUUCCCUUUAAAGGAAAGACGUCCUCUCUGAAUACCAUAUCUCUACUGACCCAACA